AUAUGAGAGAGCAAUCUGACUGUGACAUCUGUUACCCCAUUGAUCCCCAGGGCUCAUUCAGGUGCUCUUGCUGUGUAGUUGGGUAUCCCCUUCUUCCCUCAGUUCUGCAUGUGUGUCCCUCCAAUAGCUGUGGACUCAGUUGAAGAGGAAGACCUCCCCUGAAUGUAGGACAGCUACUCUUCUAUUAAGUGUAUUUGUAGCUGUCUCCUACUAUAACCUAAUAACAGGCUCCCAAGGAAUGACCUAGGAACAAAGAGUAUCGAUAUUAAAUAACUUUAUAUUGCAAGUAAUCUCCUAU
rnacentral:snRNA from 1 species